GAUGAACGCUAGCGGCAGGCCUAACACAUGCAAGUCGAGGGAGAAGCCCUUUCGGGGGCAGAAACCGGCGCACGGGUGCGUAACGCGUAUGCAACCUACCUUUCACAGGGGGAUAGCCCGAAGAAAUUUGGAUUAAUACCCCAUAAUAUUAUUGGAUGGCAUCAUUUGAUAAUUAAAACUGCGGUGGUGAAAGAUGGGCAUGCGUCCUAUUAGCUAGUUGGAGUGGUAACGGCACCCCAAGGCUACGAUAGGUAGGGGUCCUGAGAGGGAGAUCCCCCACACUGGUACUGAGACAGGGACCAGACUCCUACGGGAGGCAGCAGUGAGGUAUAUUGGUCAAUGGUCGGAAGACUGAACCAGCCAUGCCGCGUGCAGGAAGAAUGCCUUAUGGGUUGUAAACUGCUUUUAUAUGGGAAGAAUAAGGCGUACGUGUACGUUGAUGACGGUACCAUAUGAAUAAGCAUCGGCUAACUCCGUG
rnacentral:rRNA from 1 species